CUCUCCGCAGCCCCCUCCCUCAUCUCCCACAGCACGCCGCCACCCACCACCUCUUCGCGUCCCUCCUCCCAUAGCUCGCCGCUGGCUCUUGCCCUCCCUCCCCCUCACCUCGCAGCUCCGGCAACUACCAGAUCCGCCGAAUCCCCCACCCAUCCAUCCCUCUCGCAACACAUCUCUCUCUCCCUGGUUCAACCACUCAUGCCGAGACCAACGCCGGGCGAUUUCGACGACGUCCGCCACCACGAGCUGUUCUCCGACCCCUUCGUCCUCCAGUCCGGCUGGAUCCGUCGCUCCCGGUCUCCGGCGCUCGCCCGCGACCCCUAGCCAUGGCUAGGGUUUCGGCUGCAGCAUCAUAUCCAACGCUGCACAUCUUCGGCGGCUCCUCUCCGUCCACACAGCGCCUCUCCGGCAGCACGUCUCUGUCCACACCGACCCCUUGGAAAUCACCUUGUGGGCUGCGCGGUGCUGUCGCUGUCCAACAUCCAGCGGCGGGCGACCAACCCCUGGGCCGCCGUCGGCAACGCCUUCUUCUCUACCAAGGAAGUGUUUGAGAGUCCCCCUGUUUGUGAUCUGUUUAUGAGUACUUGGCAUUCAAGGAGCAGCCUGUCGAUGAGCAGUAAGUUUCAGCAUGAAAUCAUAGCAGUCGUAGAGUGUGUUGCUGACUCGCCCGAUUAAUGGCCUUUUUUUAAUGGCGGAUGUAUUUGAGGGAGGCAGUGAGUAAUAUACCAAGUUACAAUCUUAUUGAUGAGUUUUUUUCCCAAUCGCUAUAUACCAAGUUACAAUCUUAUUGAUUUGUUAAUCCCCUUUGUUCCUAUAUAGAUAGUACUUGAUGAUGCACGUGUAUAUCGACAGUCGCUUCACCUCUGUUCCUAUAUAGAUUGAUAACAAAGGUCCAAACUGUUAGUGUCGAUUGCCUAGUGUGGCUACUGCCCUCUCUAACUAUACGGGUGUGUUGAGUGUGCGUGCUGGCAAGGUGGUGCCAGCUGCUAUCGGUGCAGCAGCCGGUGUGUUGUGUGUGUGUGUGUGUGUGUGCUUCCUCUCUGAAUCUUUAACACUAAGAUUUCUCUGAAUUUCUUAUGUACCUUGUACACUGCAGGGUACCAAGUGGAGACAAAACUGCAGGGUACCAAGUAGAGACAAACCGCUGCACUGUGGUCUAGGUUGCUUCGUAACAGCCAUGGCGCACAAUAGAGCUUCAGAGGGCGAUCGCGAUGGCCGUUAUUGAACUGAAUCAUGAUCAACCAAGGGUAUGACUGGGUAGCAUGCUACUUGCUGAUGUCGAUCACAAUCCGCCAUGACAUAUAGUUGCCAUCAGGAGAGUCGACGACAAGAACACGAGUGGCAACCUUAGUAGUUUAUAUAUUUUGUUGAUGUAAAUUGGAUUGAAUCAGUUCCUAAUCCUUGCUCUGUGAUAUAUUGUGUCAAUAUAUGUUGUAUAUUAUCAUUUCAUGGAGGAUAUGAUAAAUUGCUUCGGAAA